UUAAAGCCGAUCUCACGGCCACUUGCCCGCAGAUCAGAGCCAGAGUGGAGAGCCAUGGUCUUGGCUCUCUGUCACUAGCGGUCAUGGUGCACAGGGGACGCGCGGGAAGCCGGCAUCAUCGGGGCAGCCCCCAGCCUCAGCACACAACAGAUGCCCAAAGAAGCUUUCUUGGAGGCUCAGGUAAGUGGCUUCAGGUGGCUCCA
rnacentral:lncRNA from 1 species